UACGUAGGGCGCAAGCGUUAUCCGGAAUUAUUGGGCGUAAAGAGCUCGUAGGCGGUUUGUCGCGUCUGCCGUGAAAGUCCGGGGCUCAACUCCGGAUCUGCGGUGGGUACGGGCAGACUAGAGUGAUGUAGGGGAGACUGGAAUUCCUGGUGGAGCGGUGAAAUGCGUAGAUAUCGUCAGGAAUGCCGGUGGUGAAGACGGGUGACUGGGCUGGUUCUGACACUGAGGCACGAAAGCGUGGGGAGCGAACGGG
rnacentral:rRNA from 1 species